rnacentral:sRNA from 1 species
GCCAGGUGCAGCGGUGCAUGCCUGUAAUCCCAGCAGCUCCGGAGGCUGAGGCAGGAGGAUUGCUGGUUCAAAGCCAGUCUCAGCUAUUUAGCAAGGCACUAGCAACUCAGUGAGACCCUGUCUCUA